ensembl:lncRNA
UAUAUGUAUACCUAUGGCUGAUUCAUGUUGAGGUUUGACAGAAAAAAACAAAAUUCUGUAAAGCAAUUAUCCUUCAAUUAAAAAAUCAACUCAUAAAACAUGCAGUGGUCCACAAUAAUUUCCAAAUCCAGCUUAGAAACUAGCACUUACUAUAUUUAUUUAAUCAUUAAAGGCUUCUUUCUAGGAAUCUUAGAGUUUUCAGCCUGAGACCUUCUUAAAAUGCAAGUUAUCUUUGAGAAAGAUGAUUUCCUAUCAGUUUACCUUUUGGUAGGGCUCAGUUUAACAGAUGCCUGAAAUUCAGCUUCUAUGAAUUGUACAUGGCGUUAGAGGUUGGGUUUCAAGACACUGACUCUGAAGCAGAGAUUAGUAUAGAGGUUUAUUAGGGAGAUCAACACCUGUAGGAAGGAGAAAGAAUGGGAAAGAAACAUGAUUAUUCUGAGGGAGAAGCUGACCUGCAGUGCAAUCUGAAUGCAGGCCUCAGCCAACUCGCUGGUGAUUUCUGAAGCUGAACUCAUUCUUCAGAGUCAGGACCAGGGUGAGUAGGCCUUUAUAUCUUCACAUUGAUCAGUCAUUAGAUGUGGGCAGCCCUGGCAAGAGGAGUUGCCUUGAGUAAGCCAGGCCUCUUCAGCAGAGGCAAUUAUUCUCUUCCUGCUGAGGCAUUGCAGCCAGCAGCACUGCUAGCAGUGAGGGAAGUAAGUCCUUUGUUCUUGAAGGGGGAUCUGGGUGGCACAUCAUGGUUGCCAACACAGGAAUGGUGAGAAAGCGCUGAUAAAAGACAGCUGAAAAUGCCCAAAGGCAAAUCUUACCUUCUUCAGUUUAGCCUAUGGCCUUGGGAAACUGUGACACAUGGAGACUGUGGGAACUCCAAUGCUUGGGAUUGAAUCCUGAGUUCACCACUUCCCUGGGGGCUCAGUUGGCAAAGAAUCUGCCUGCAAUUCAGGAGACCCGGGUUCAGUCCCUGGGUCAGAGAGAUCCCCUGGAGAAGGAAAUGGCAACCCACUCCAGUAUUCUUGCCUGGAGAAUUCCAUGGACAGAGGAGCCUCGUGGGCUAUGGUCCAUAGGGUCACAAGUCAGACUCGACUGAAUGACUAACACUUUCACUUUUCACUUUCACCACUUCCAACCUACAAAGAAUUAGGCAAGUCUUCUGAUGGAGAUCAGCCCUGGGAUUUCUUUGGAAGGAAUGAUGCUAAAGCUGAAACUCCAGUACUUUGGCCACCUCAUGCAAAGAGUUGACUUAUUGGAAAAGACUCUGAUGAUGGGAGGGAUUGGGGGCAGGAGAAGGGGACAACAGAGGAUGAGAUGGCUGGAUGGCAUCACUGACCUGAUGGACAUGAGUUUGGGUGAACCCCGGGAGUUGGUGAUGGACAGGGAGGCCUGGCUUGCUGUGAUUCAUGGGGUCGCAAAGAGUCGGACGUGACUGAGUGACUGAACUGAAUGGAGUCUCUGAGCCUCAAUUUUCUUAAAAAAUUUCCCUGUUUAGGUAGUUGCAUGAAUUAAAUAAGAAAACAUAUAUGACUUUGGCACUAUGAAGUGCCAUACAGAUAUAUCAUGUUGUUACAAAUGUUUGAUUUGUUGAUUAAUUAAGAAACUAAGCAUCUGAAUGCAGAGUUCCAAAGAAUAGCAAGGAGAGAUAAGAAAGCCUUCCUCAGUGAUCAAUGCAAAGAAAUAGAGGAAAAGAACAGAAUGGGAAAGACUACAGAUCUCUUCAAGAAAAUUAGAGAUACCAAGGGAACAUUUCAUGCAAAGAUGGGCUCGAUAAAGGACAGAAAUGGUAUGGACCUAACAGAAGAUAUUAAGAAGAGGUGGCAAGAAUACACAGAAGAACUGUACAAAAAAGAUCUUCAUGACCAAGAUGAUCAUGAUGGUGAGAUCACUCACCAAGAGCCAGACAUCCUAGAAUGUGAAGUCAAGUGGGCGUUAGAAAGCAUCACUACGAACAAAGCUAGUGGAGGUGAUGGAAUUCCAGUCGAGCUGUUUCAAAUCCUGGAAGGUGAUGCUGUGAAAGUGCUGCACUCAAUAUGCCAGCAAAUUUGGAAAACUCAGCAGUGGCCGCAGGACUGGAAAAGGUCAGUUUUCAUUCCGAUCCCAAAGAAAGGCAAUGCCAAAGAAUGCUCGAACUACCACAC